GCGAACGGGUGAGUAACACGUGGGCAACCUACCCAAAAGAGGGGGAUAACACUUGGAAACAGGUGCUAAUACCGCAUAACCAUAGUUACCGCAUGGUAACUAUGUAAAAGGUGGCUAUGCUACCGCUUUUGGAUGGGCCCGCGGCGCAUUAGCUAGUUGGUGGGGUAAAGGCUUACCAAGGCAAUGAUGCGUAGCCGAACUGAGAGGUUGAUCGGCCACAUUGGGACUGAGACACGGCCCAAACUCCUACGGGAGGCAGCAGUAGGGAAUCUUCCACAAUGGGCGAAAGCCUGAUGGAGCAACGCCGCGUGGGUGAAGAAGGUCUUCGGAUCGUAAAACCCUGUUGUUAGAGAAGAAAGUGCGUGAGAGUAACUGUUCACGUUUCGACGGUAUUUAACCAGAAAGCCACGGCUAACUACGUGCCAGCAGCCGCGGUAAUACGUAGGUGGCAAGCGUUAUCCGGAUUUAUUGGGCGUAAAGGGAACGCAGGCGGUCUUUUAAGUCUGAUGUGAAAGCCUUCGGCUUAACCGGAGUAGUGCAUUGGAAACUGGGAGACUUGAGUGCAGAAGAGGAGAGUGGAACUCCAUGUGUAGCGGUGAAAUGCGUAGAUAUAUGGAAGAACACCAGUGGCGAAAGCGGCUCUCUGGUCUGUAACUGACGCUGAGGUUCGAAAGCGUGGGUAGCAAACAGGA
rnacentral:rRNA from 1 species